rnacentral:RNase_P_RNA from 1 species
GAAGCGCGCCGGACCGCCGCUGGUGCAAGUGCCGAAAGGCCGCACUGGAGGAACGUCCGGACUGCAUAGGACAGCGCAGGAGCUAACGGCUCCCCACCGUGAGGUGAGGAUCAGAGCAACAGAGACGAGUCAGCUUGCCGCCUAGCGGCAGGUUGGGUGAAACGGGCAAUCUCUGCGCGCAGCAACACCAAGUAGGCCAGCGUCGAGGUGGUUCCGCCGAGCUGGCGGGUAGGUGGCAUCGAGCCGUCCGGGUGACCGGCGGCCCAGAGUAAUGGCGGUCACGCCGGGGGCAACCCCGGUGCACAGAAUCCGGCUUACAGGCGCGCUUCACAC